rnacentral:rRNA from 1 species
UACGUAGGGGGCUAGCGUUGUCCGGAUUUAUUGGGCGUAAAGAGCGCGUAGGCGGCCAGGUAGGUCUGCUGUGAAAACUCGAGGCUCAACCUCGAGACGUCGGCGGAAACCAUCUGGCUAGAGUCCGGAAGAGGAGAGUGGAAUUCCUGGUGUAGCGGUGAAAUGCGCAGAUAUUCGGAAGAACACCAGUGGCGAAGGCGACAUACUGGCUCAUUACUGACGCUGAGGCUCGAAAGCGUGGGGAGCAAACAGG